GGACUUCCACAGCACAUAUACCAAAAAUGGAAUCCUAUGGAGAAGAUAGCAUGGUCCCGCACAAAAAUGACAAGCGAAUUUGCGAAAAGUUCCACAUUUAA
ensembl:snRNA U6 U6 spliceosomal RNA